rnacentral:rRNA from 1 species
UACGGAGGGGACUAGCGUUGUUCGGAAUUACUGGGCGUAAAGCGCACGUAGGCGGAUUGUUAAGUCAGGGGUGAAAUCCCGAGGCUCAACCUCGGAACUGCCUUUGAUACUGGCAAUCUCGAGUCCGGAAGAGGUGAGUGGAAUUCCUAGUGUAGAGGUGAAAUUCGUAGAUAUUAGGAAGAACACCAGUGGCGAAGGCGGCUCACUGGUCCGGUACUGACGCUGAGGUGCGAA